rnacentral:lncRNA from 1 species
GGACAGAGCCUGGCUUUGUGCGGGAGGCAGACGCGCCCCGCGCGCCGCCCCCGAAACAUUCGCACCCCAUGCUGAGGCGCGCGUCUGGGAGUCCGUGGGCGCCCCGAGGGGCAUUUGUACGUGGGGUGUACAGGCAGGAACAGGAAAGACGCUGUGGCCACCCAGGAGUAGGGGCGGCAGCCAACACCCCCUGGAUCCCCAGUUCCAAGGUGCAGGGAGGGGGGCAGAGGCCAGUUCCCUCCGCUCUCUGCCCCUUGACCUUGGCCUUGAAAUGAAGUUGAAAAUAGCACAGGAGCCCACUAUCACUGUGUGAACAUUUUGUGAAUGAAGACAUGUAUGAAAGGAUGUUUGGAGGCUUCAAGAAACGAAAGCCGAGAGUCUAGCUAGACCAGAGCCAUCCAGCCCAGGAGCGAUGGCCACGUGUGGCCGCUGGACACGAGAGACGUGGCCAGUCCAAACUGUGCAGUGCGGGGCAGUGGAAGCCGUUGGAGGGCCUCAGGCAGGAACACAAGGUGUCGUGGCAGAAAGGAAGAAGGGGCCGGGCACGGUGGCCCACACCCGUCAUCCCAGCACUUUGGGAGGGAGGCCAAGGCAGGAGGAUCGCUUCAAUCCAGGAGUUCAAGAUCAGCCUGGGCAACACAGCAAGACCCCGUCUCUACUAAAACCCUAAAACUUAGCCAGGCUUGGUGGCAUGUGCCUAAGGUCCCAGGUCCUCGGGAGACUAAGGCAGGAGGAUUGCUUAAGCCCAAGAGUUUGAGGCUGCAGUGAACUAUUAUCACACCACUGCACUCAGCCUGGGUGACAGAGUGACUCUGUCUCAAAACUAAAUAAAUAAACAAUAAUUGUGUUA